GAUGAACGCUGGCGGCGUGCUUAACACAUGCAAGUCGAACGGUGAAGCAGGAGCUUGCUCCUGUGGAUCAGUGGCGAACGGGUGAGUAACACGUGAGCAAUCUGCCCUGGACUCUGGGAUAAGCGUUGGAAACGACGUCUAAUACCGGAUACGAGGCGUGGGGGCAUCCCCAACGCCUGGAAAGAACUUCGGUCCAGGAUGAGCUCGCGGCCUAUCAGGUAGUUGGUGAGGUAACGGCUCACCAAGCCUACGACGGGUAGCCGGCCUGAGAGGGUGACCGGCCACACUGGGACUGAGACACGGCCCAGACUCCUACGGGAGGCAGCAGUGGGGAAUAUUGCACAAUGGGCGCAAGCCUGAUGCAGCAACGCCGCGUGAGGGACGACGGCCUUCGGGUUGUAAACCUCUUUUAGCAGGGAAGAAGCGAGAGUGACGGUACCUGCAGAAAAAGCACCGGCUAACUACGUGCCAGCCGCCGCAGUAAGAC
rnacentral:rRNA from 1 species